AGACUUGGGAGAAACACCAGAGCCUCCUCCAAGAUGCUGGUGGUCCUGUUCACAGCGGUCUUGCUAACCCUGAGCUAUGCUCAGGAAAGAACUUCAGAGCCUAGACCAGACACCAAAUCAGAAACCACCUCCACCAGGAUUCCCACCAAGACCACCUGCUAAUGGGAGCCAGCAAGGCCCACCCCCACAAGGAGGCCCACAACAGAAACCACCUCAGCCUGGAAAGCCCCAAGGCCCACCCCCACCAGGAGGCCCACAGCAGAAACCACCUCAGCCUGGAAAGCCCCAAGGCCCACCCCCACCAGGAGGCCCACAGCAGAAACAACCUCAGCCUGGAAAGCCCCAAGGCCCACCCCCACCAGGAGGCCCACAGCAGAAACCACCUCAGCCUGGAAAGCCCCAAGACCCACCCCCACCAGGAGGCCCACAGCAGAGACCUCCUCAGCCAGGAAACCAGCAAAGCCCACCACAAGGUCCCCAAUUGGACAGACCACAGGGAUCUUUCCAGAGUUUGGGUCCUCAGUAAACCAGAAUCCUCUGAAAGAAAGUGAGUAAGAAGUCUCUCCCUCCUGUUUUUCUACUGUAACGGCAGCUUCAGAACUGGAGAUUCACAACAUUAAUAAAAUGAUCAACCUGCAACUUCUGAUUGCUGUCUUUUUUUUCUGGAUGGAAUUUCAUGACUGAAAAUAAUCCAUGUGCUCAACCCAGUCUUAUAGUUUGCUCUUGCAAUUUAGUUAAGCAAUUGUCCAUAAUCCAGUUACCUGGCACAAGUAUUCUCCUGCUUUCCCUUGCCUGGUCUCUAAAACAUAAUGGGUUGUAAAAUUUAUUUACAUUUUAAAAUAACACGCUGAUAAUUUGGUAUAUUAUAGCAUUGUAGUAUACUUGAGCUGAACCCAGAUCAAAGUAUAGACCUUAGCAUAUCCUUCAGAAUAUUUAAAAAGUUUAGACAGAUUUGUUUGAAGGGACACAAGCCAGCUUGAUCUUUGUGAGUGUGGCUUGCCCUUCUCCCACAUAAUUCUACCAUGCUAAAAGUUGUUAUAUUACAUUCCUAAAGCUU
rnacentral:lncRNA from 1 species